GGAGAAGCAGAGCCUCCCUACAGAACCACAGAUCCAUGUGGGAGCUGCCAUGGAAGGAGAUAAGAAAUCCACCCUCCGGAUAUGUAGAAUGAUGUUGUUGUAAUCACUCUUCAAAGGGAGAUCCACAGUAAACAAAUGUUAGCAUGUUGCCUCUGCAGCUUCUUUUGGUACCAUAUCAGGAUGGGUGAGCUGUCUCCAGUUAAGGCAAAUUAACCUGUGAAGAAACAAAGCAAAGUCCAUGCUGAAAAUGUGUGCAGAUGUGAGGCCAACAGCAGCAGCAGAAAGGCUUUGUCAACACCAGCAAAUCACUGAUUCUACCUCUGCAAGGUCAGCUUCUGAAGGCAACGUGUGUGAGACCAGAGCUCCA